UACAGAGGUCUCAAGCGUUGUUCGGAUUCAUUGGGCGUAAAGGGUGCGUAGGCGGCGCGGUAAGUCGGGUGUGAAAUCUCGGAGCUUAACUCCGAAACUGCAUUCGAUACUGCGGUGCUUGAGGACUGGAGAGGAGACUGGAAUUCAUGGUGUAGCAGUGAAAUGCGUAGAGAUCAUGAGGAAGACCAGUGGCGAAGGCGGGUUGCUGGGCUGACACUGACGCUGAAGCGCGAAAGCCAGGGGAGCGAACGGG
rnacentral:rRNA from 1 species